rnacentral:rRNA from 1 species
UACGUAGGGUGCGAGCGUUAAUCGGAAUUACUGGGCGUAAAGCGUGCGCAGGCGGCGCGUUAAGACAGGUGUGAAAGCCCCGAGCUUAACUUGGGAAUUGCGCUUGUGACUGGCGUGCUGGAGUGUGGCAGAGGGAGGUGGAAUUCCACGUGUAGCAGUGAAAUGCGUAGAGAUCAGCAGGAACACCCGUGGCGAAGGCGGCCCCCUGGGCCGUACCUGACGCUGAGGCGCGAAGGCUAGGGGAGCGAACGGGG